AUUCAUUUGUACUUCAUGAGCAUCAUGAGAAGGUGUUCACGCUUUUGUGUGACAUGUGCCUCCCUCAAACCUUGCUAUGACCUUUGCACAUUAUCUGUCUGGCA
ensembl:snoRNA